rnacentral:lncRNA from 1 species
AUGCGCUCUGCGGCCGCUGGCCUGUGCUCGCCGCUCACACGCCCCCUGCGCGCCGGGCCCGUACACCGCCACCGGCCCUCACAGAGCCGUCCGGCCUUCGCCCGGACGCUGGGCCGCCGCCCGGGCACCGCGCCGCGCCCGCCCUCCACCCGGCCACCUCCUGUCCUCCCCGCCGCCCCCUUUCUUACCGGCAGGCUUGGCUGGGCGGAGGAAGCCGACUCGGGUCGACGGCCUCCCCCGCGCCCAGGAUCUCCGCCGCCGAGUCCUAGGGCUCCGGGCGUCUUGGGAGAGAUACCUGCAGACCCAGCUCUUCAAGCAGAGAUUGGCCAAGUCCAGCCAUUAUGCCCCUGUGCUGACCCACUAGCACCAUAUCCGGAUCUGCAGGUGAAAAGGCACGGCUGCUGGCAUGAUAGGGGUUUCCUAGAAAGCAGUGAAGAGACCAUAGCCUAA